rnacentral:rRNA from 1 species
CAGUCGCCACGGUAAUACGGAGGAUCCAAGCGUUAUCCGGAAUCAUUGGGUUUAAAGGGUCCGUAGGCGGUCUUGUAAGUCAGUGGUGAAAGCCCAUCGCUCAACGGUGGAACGGCCAUUGAUACUGCAGGACUUGAAUUAUUGGGAAGUAACUAGAAUAUGUAGUGUAGCGGUGAAAUGCUUAGAGAUUACAUGGAAUACCAAUUGCGAAGGCAGGUUAAUACCAAUUGAUUGACGCUGAUGGACGAAAGCGUGGGUAGCGAACAGGAUUAGAUACCCGUGUAGUCCCUGUCUCUUAUAC